CCUCUCCCCUACCAUGCUGUGCCCUUGCUCCGCCCCCUGCCGGGUACAGACUCUGCUGGAAGUCUCGGUCGCCUGGGUUAGGGGACUUCUCAUUUGCUAAAGUCCACCAGCCACUCGCUGUCCUUCCCACAAUCAACAAUACCGGCCACUCCAUCUUCCCACAGUACUUCGGAAAGCUGGAGAUGACGAGAAACUGGCCAUGAAGGGGAUUGCCUCAGUGGUCUCCUAAGGCCAAUACCUGCACACUGGUGCCGGCUGAGGGUGGACAAAGGAACUGAGUAAGGACCCUGGGGGUUAGAGGAUGCCCCCCUGGCCACAUCUGGAGUCCUGCCUACACAUAUGAGAAUCCAGGAGCCACAGGAGUGGGGCACAGCGGGACAGGAGAGGAGGAGGAAGAAUAUGGGGAGAUUCUAGUCCCUCCCACUUAGAGAUGCGGUCGCCAUGGUGACUAAGGACC